AUUGAACGCUGGCGGCAUGCCUUACACAUGCAAGUCGAACGGCAGCACGGGUGCUUGCACCUGGUGGCGAGUGGCGAACGGGUGAGUAAUACAUCUGAACAUGUCCUGUAGUGGGGGAUAGCCCGGCGAAAGCCGGAUUAAUACCGCAUACGAUCUACGGAUGAAAGCGGGGGACCUUCUGGCCUCGCGCUUUGGGGUUGGCCGAUGGCGGAUUAGCUAGUUGGUGGGGUAAAGGCCUACCAAGGCGACGAUCAGUAGCUGGUCUGAGAGGACGACCAGCCACACUGGGACUGAGACACGGCCCAGAUUCCUACGGGAGGCAGCAGUGGGGAAUUUUGGACAAUGGGCGAAAGCCUGAUCCAGCAAUGCCGCGUGUGUGAAGAAGGCCUUCGGGUUGUAAAGCACUUUUGUCCGGAAAGAAAUCCUUGGCCCUAAUACGGUCGGGGGAUGACGGUACCGGAAGAAUAAGCAACGGCUAACUACGUG
rnacentral:rRNA from 1 species